rnacentral:misc_RNA from 1 species
UGGUUCUGGCAUNGAUGAAGAACGCAGCGAAAUGCGAUAAGUAAUGUGAAUUGCACAAUUCAGUGAAUCAUCGAAUCUUUGAACGCACAUUGCGCCCCUUGGCAUUCCGAGGGGCAUGCCUGUCCGAGCGUCACGAGUCCAAUCAAGCCCGGCUUGGUGUUGGGCCCUGCUAGCACUAGCAGGCCCUGAUUCUAGUGGCGACGCCGCUGGUCCUCGAGCGUAGUAACGUCUCUCGCUGCGAGGGCCCGCGGACGGCGGCCAACAACCCCCAUUUAUCUUCGGGUUGACCUCGGAUCAGGUAGGAGUACCCGCUGA